UACGGAGGGUGCAAGCGUUUGUCCGGAAUCACUGGGCGUAAAGGGCGCGUAGGCGGCUCAUGAAGGCUGUGGUGAAAAGUCCGGGGGCUCAACCUCGGAUCGGCCGUGGCGACUCGUGGGGCUGGAGCACUGUAGAGGCGGGUGGAAUUCCGGGGUGUAGCGGUGGAAUGCGUAGAGAUCCGGAAGAACACCAGUGGCGAAGGCGGCCCCGCUGGGCAGUGGCUGACGCUGAGGCGCGACAGCGUGGGGGGAGCAAAACA
rnacentral:rRNA from 1 species